CCCCCCCCAGCCUCUCCAACCUCACCUUUUGCCCGUCGCGCCGUCGAAAUGACUCUUUUUUAUUGCAGUUCAUAAACAGCGACUCCCCCGGCGGCCCUGGGAAAUUUCCCAUAAACUUUGAUCAAACAGGCGUUAGCCUCCCUGGUCCUGGAGCCGCUCUCCACGCGCAUGAAAACGGCUCCGCUCAAUCACAGGCAGAGACAACACGCCGGAAACAGUGCAAAUAGCAAGGCAGUCGCAGAUAUAUCAAGUCAUUAUUGACCAGAACACCGGGGGAAUAGAUCUCAUAUAAAAACAAUAAGUUACUCUUGUUUUUCUCCUUUUCUUCCUCCUCUCCCCAUCUCCCCUCCCCUCUCUUGGCGGAGGCGGAAAUAAAAGGCGAGGCACUGGCGGUAAACUUUGUGGCUUAAAAUUAAUAGCUUUGAGGGGAGCUCAGGUGAGCGCGCCAAAGUGAUAAAAAGCAUCCAAAAUAGAAGCCGGCGGUUGAUUUAAGUGAGUGUGCGUAAGAUGCCGGAUCCUCAUAGGCUUUUUUUUUUCACUUUCCUUUUCCGCUUCCUUGUCUCGUUUAGCCGAGUUGUCAGCCCGGCUCCUCUCGCAGUGGAGGCCUCGCCGCGCCCCCUGUCCGGUAGUCGUGGUCGUUGUGUUGCUGGAUUGUCCAUGAUGAACGACAACACCGCUAACACCUUUACUUGAUUGUGGCUAGAGAUCCGGUUUAGGAAAGGCCAAAGGUCAUUGACAGGGUUUAGGUUGUGCACAACGUUGUGGUUUUCUCUCCGUGUCUCGUUCAGGAUGCAACCUGACAUGUUUGAUGUUUGCAAGUGAACAAAAUACAUUUAAAAAAGAGAGUUUUCCCCCAGAAUGGACUCAUUAUUUACUUAACAGUUGGGACAAAUAAAGUAAACUGAUGAUGCUUUAUGUUCCUUUUCUUUAAAUAAAUGAUAUUUAUCUCUGCCCUUUAUUAUUUUAGAUUGUUUUUUAAAUCUUGAAAACAGCAUUAUAGCAUGUUUUAAUAAAACAAUGUAAUUAAUAUAUUAUUAUAAUGUAAUUAAUAAUUAUUAUUCUAUUACCCAAUUUCCUUUUGAGCAAGGAGGAAUCCCAAAGUACUCAGUACUUUUAUUGGACAUCAUUUCACCUUUUCAUUCUUCAAUAGAAAUAGAAUUGUUCCAGAGUUAUUGUUACUGGGGGGGGGGAGGGGGGGGGUCCUCAAAGGGACAGACUCCCCCUCCUCUGCUUCUCAUCGGCCCGAUGACCCAAUGUCUGUCACUUCUUUUCUAUAGGAGCCUCAGCAGAGCAUGACGCAGCGCAGCUAUAGUUACUCCUUUGCCAUUGUUUGUUUGUGGGGCUCAGCCUGGGUCCUCAUAUCGCCCCCGUACCCCUGCGCCCCCGUACCCUGCCAACUCCUCACCUUGCCCUCCCCUGCAUCUCAUGACUCAACCUCCCCUGUCUUUUAUACUCCGUUAGCCGCGUGAGUUACUUCUGUCUGCCCCCUCGCCGCUAACCCUCUCGCAGGCCUAGUUGGAGGGGACAGCGGCUCCGCCCUGCAGGGUCGCACCGCGUUACAACGGAGAAGGCUGCUACUGGGCGACACAUCCCUCCGUCCUGAUCACUCUUAUCCAUCUAUUUAUACACACCGUGCAUACAUAUCUAGGCUCAGCCGCUGUCGUUGUCUGAGCCUCUUUAUACCUCCUUCUUUCUCCUCUCGGGGGUCAGAAUGCAACCCGGAGCCAGCAGCAGGCUGGAGAUUGUCAGCAGGAAGCCCAGAAGAAGAAAUGUGGGCUCGAUGCCUCUAGUUCAUUAUGACUCAGGAUGUGAGCAGCAGCAGUGUGUGUUGACAUUGUCAUAGUUAUCAGGGGAACAUCUGUGUACAGCCUGUCACAGGUGUGUGUUAUUGUGUGCAUAGCGGAGAGGGACACGUUUGUGUGCCUGCAUGCAUAUAUACGUAUACCGCAGCGCCUCCUUCUUUUGUGUGUGUGUGUGUGUGUAUUUUCACGUGUCCAUGUGGAGGCUGAUGGUUCCCGGUUUGGAUGGCGGCGUCUCUGCACCCGAGGGGUCUGCUGAGAUCUGCCUCUGUGUAGGAUCAAAGGGGAGGGGGGGGGGGCUGCUGCCGCGGCGCCCAGCCAGCCUGCCGGCACGCCAGCUGCAAUCCCUAAUGCCUCCGCCACAUCCUUGGCAGGAUGCGCCUCUGCCCCUUUCUUAUUUCUUCCUCCCAGUUCUCCGUCUUGGCAAAAAGUGAGGGAGGGAAAAAGGCGCAGCCUUCGUCACCUUGCAUACCUCUCAUUCCUGAUUCCUCCUCUUCACGCCUUCGGGAUGCGUUGGAUACAUCGAUGCCAUCAGACGGCAGUGUUUGACCAGAGACGCCGUUUCUGCUCGGCCCCUAAACCGACCCCCAAACAGCGUGUUUAUGGGUAAUUGGGCUGGAAGCAGUGGCAGGACGUACACGAACACACCCAGCGGCGCCCCUAAAUCCUGCCGCAAUGCUGCGCAGAGAAACAUCUGACGCGGUGGAGUUUCAUCGGAACGCCUGUUUGCCCUUUUACUUGUGUCAAUGUUUACAAAUGUGUUUGAAUUAUUUGGCAUGGCUCACGGUGUUUGUCCUUUACUGCGCGUAAGAGGAUGUUGAUAUUCUUAGGAAAAAGUGUUAUGAGAGCAGUCAGUAAAAGUCGAUUCCCAUAAACAGGCUAACUUGAGACAUCUGUUGUUCGAGACACUUGAAUCACUAUUUACUGUUUUGCAAAUUUCCAACGCACAUCACUCCCUGUGCUUUUUGUUUUUGUUGUUACUCUCUGGCAAGUGGGAGAAUUUGUUGUGUUUUCUCGGGGUGUUAUUACGGCAGAGUUUGGGGGACUGUCAAAGGGGGGCGAGGCGCCGCGCAGUUAAACUGGGACUCUCAGUACCCAUCAGGCCCCUGUGACUCUCUGUGAAGGCGACGCGCCACAGAAGGCGCCGUGCACAGAAAAAGUCACAUCCCGUUAGCAGACAUCCGGCGCGCUAAACAGGUUAAACUGCCGCGCCUGGCACCGCCAAUUGUAUUGAUAGCUGUUUGAAGGCGGCUUCCUCUCCAACCUGCCGUCACGCUUCACACGCUUCAUCCGGUUUGCCACUCCAGGCGAAACUUCAAACCUGGGAGAGCGUGUUUCCCUCCACUGAGGUGGAUGCAGGCGUGGGUGUCUGUGGGCGUCUGUGUUUGUUUAUGUGUGUGUGUGUGUGUGUGUGUGUGUGUGUGUAGCCAGGGGCCUUUACUGUUGUUUGUUUAUGUUGCCUCCAUUCUAUAAAAAGGCCUCUGAUCUCCCCCGGCAUCA
ensembl:lncRNA